rnacentral:rRNA from 1 species
UACGUAGGGUGCGAGCGUUGUCCGGAACUAUUGGGCGUAAAGGGCUCGUAGGCGGUCUGUCGCGUCGAAAGUGAAAACCCAGGGCUUAACCCUGGGCCUGCUUCCGAUACGGGCAGACUAGAGGUAUGCAGGGGAGAACGGAAUUCCUGGUGUAGCGGUGGAAUGCGCAGAUAUCAGGAGGAACACCAAUAGCGAAGGCAGCUCGCUGGGACGUUACUGACACUGAGGCGCGAAAGCGUGGGGAGCGAACAGG